UACGGGGGGGGCAAGCGUUGUUCGGAAUUACUGGGCGUAAAGCGUGCGCAGGCGGCUUCGCAAGUCAGGCGUGAAAUCCCCGGGCUUAACCUGGGAAUGGCGUCUGAAACUACGGAGCUGGAGUGUGGCAGAGGGAGGUAGAAUUCCACGUGUAGCGGUGAAAUGCGUAGAUAUGUGGAGGAAUACCGAUGGCGAAGGCAGCCUCCUGGGCCAACACUGACGCUCAUGCACGAAAGCGUGGGGAGCAAACAGG
rnacentral:rRNA from 1 species